UCGGAUAUGGUGUAACGGCUAACAUUGCCGCCUCUCAUUGUAUUUACUUGCAGAUUUCGCGGCAGCUCGGGGUUCGAUUCCCCGUAUCCGAA